rnacentral:rRNA from 1 species
CAGGCGCGAAAACUUUACAAUGCAGGCAACUGUGAUAAGGGAACCCCGAGUGCCCGUAUACGCGGGCUGUUCGGAUGUCCAAAAAGCAUCCGGAGAAAGGGCCGGGCAAGACCGGUGCCAGCCGCCGCGGUAAUACCGGCGGCUCGAGUGGUGGCCGCUUUUAUUGGGCUUAAAGCGUCCGUAGCUGGAUUGUUAAGUCCCUUGGGAAAUCCGCCGGCUCAACCGGCGGGCGUCUAAGAGAUACUGGCAAUCUAGGGACCGGAAGAGGUGAGAGGUACUCCAGGGGUAGGAGUGAAAUCCUGUAAUCCCUGGGGGACCACCUGUGGCGAAGGCGUCUCACCAGGACGGCUCCGACAGUGAGGGACGAAAGCUGGGGGAGCAAACCGGAUUAGAUACCCGGGUAGUCCCAGCCGUAAACGAUGCGCGUUAGGUGUAUCGGUGACCACGAGUCACCGAGGUGCCGAAGGGAAACCGUGAAACGUGCCGC